GCCCGAGUGCUGGAACAGGCAGACAGGACGGUCUCAAAAACCGUUGCCCUCUGGGCGUGUCGGUUCGACCCCGACCUCGGGCACCA
rnacentral:tRNA from 1 species